GACGAACGCUGGCGGCGUGCCUAAUACAUGCAAGUCGAGCGAAAAGAUGGGGAGCUUGCUCCUCUGACGUUAGCGGCGGACGGGUGAGUAACACGUGGAUAACCUACCUAUAAGACUGGGAUAACUUCGGGAAACCGGAGCUAAUACCGGAUAAUAUAUUGAACCGCAUGGUUCAAUAGUGAAAGACGGUUUUGCUGUCACUUAUAGCUGGAUCAGCGCCGCAUUAGCUAGUUGGUAAGGUAACGGCUUACCAAGGCAACGAUGCGUAGCCGACCUGAGAGGGAGGACGGCCACACUGGAAGAGAGACAGAGUCCAGACUCCGACAGUGGGCAGCGGUCGGGAAUCUUCCGCGAUGGGGGAAUGCCGGACAGAGCAACGCCGCGUGAAGGAUGAAGGUCUUCGGAUCGUAAAGUUCUGUUAUUAGGAAAGAACAAAUGUGUAAGUAACUAUGCACGUCUUGACGGUACCGAAUCAGAAAGCCACGGCUAACUACGUG
rnacentral:rRNA from 1 species